GAUGCCUACGGGACGCAGCAGUGGGGGAUAUUGCACAAUGGGGGGAACCCUGAUGCAGCGACGCCGCGUGGGUGAAGGAGUAUUUCGGUAUGUAAAGCCCUAUCGGCAGGGAAGAAGCAAGACGGUACCUGACUAAGAAGCCCCGGCUAACUACGUGCCAGCAGCCGCGGUAAUACGUAGGGGGCGAGCGUUAUCCGGAUUCACUGGGUGUAAAGGGAGCGUAGACGGCCAAGCAAGCCAGGGGUGAAAGCCCGGGGCCCAACCCCCGGACUGCUCUGGAAACUGCCAGGCUGGAGUGCAGGAGG
rnacentral:rRNA from 1 species